rnacentral:rRNA from 1 species
UACGAAGGGUGCAAACGUUGCUCGGAAUCAUUGGGCGUAAAGCGCAUGUAGGCGGCCUAUCAAGUUGGAUGUGAAAUCCCUCGGCUUAACCAAGGAAGUGCAUCCAAAACUGAUGGGCUUGAGUACUAAAGAGGAUCGUAGAAUUCCCGGUGUAGAGGUGAAAUUCGUAGAUAUCGGGAGGAAUACCAGUGGCGAAGGCGGCGAUCUGGGUGGAUACUGACGCUGAGAUGCGAAAGCGUGGGGAGCAAACAGG